rnacentral:tRNA from 1 species
GCUACUGUGGCUCAGGGGUAGAGCAGCUCACUCGUAAUGAGCAGGUCGCCGGUUCGAAUCCGGCCAGUAGCUCCA